AUCAUCCUGCAAAAAGUCAGAAGCUGAAACGAAACCGCUGGUAAACAGUGCCUGCAACUGAUCGAGAGCGAUAGAGAGAGAGAGAGAGAGAGGAGGAAGAAGAUGAUCCACCGCAAAUGGAGUCUCCUGACUGGUCCCGUCGCUAUACUCGUCGGCAUCGUGGCCGCUCUCCCCGUCGCCAACUACAUCGUCCUCGGCGAUCCAUUCCGUAAGCCAGAGCCAAAGGAGGAGUAUUCAUCAUCAUCUACCAAGUGACCUGGUGAUGUAACUCAAGUGAAUGUGAGACCAUCUUUGGGCUGGGUUUUGAGGUUCUUGAACCUUAAGAUGGGAACAGAAAGUUGUAUCUUGAUAUAUUAGUUGCGGACCGUUGUUCAACCCAAUGUACCUGGCCAUUCUCUUUUGUUGAAUGCUGCUCCGUCCCUAUUUUCUGCUUGACUGCCAAAAAUAAGUUGUUUUGAAUUUGGCCAGUUAACACUGUGGUUGAUGCAAAUGUUCCCAUUGGUGGCAGAAAUAAUGAACCGUCAUGCUGAUGUUUCUGAAAUAGUGAUUUAGAGCUUCAAUAUCAAUGUUACUUGUUAG